GGUGCUGGCGCAGGCGCUAAGAUGUUUAUAAUAAUUUAAGCUUAACGCUCGGAAAAUACUUUCUAAGGAGCAAGGAAAUGCUUUUUCUGCCCCAUCAGAAAGACUGUGUUUGAGGUGAAGGAAGGUUUAAUACCUUUAAAAAAUCCAUUUUACAAGAUGAGAUGGAUCCAGAUGUGGACCACGGCUCACCACAGGAUGACUCCCGCCAGCAUUCCCUGCAGACUCUCAAAGGGCAUCCAUGCAGUGGCGCGUGUGACACUCCACGCAGCAAGGCUCUGCCGCAGGGCCUGGUGUGGACUAAACAGAGUCGGUUAGAAAAGUGUUCUGAUGCAGUCACAGCUUUCAAGGCCUCAGCUUGCAUAAUUACAAGGGGCAGGAGCUGAAAUUUCAUCUGUGCGACAUCAGCUCAAAAGGAGCCGAGACUGGAAGAAACCGGGAGCUAUGAUUUGCACUUUGAUAACUUAAGUGAAAUAAAUCGAUGAUUCCAAAUG
rnacentral:lncRNA from 1 species